CACGUGGAUAUGCAAUAAUGAGAUGAUGCUGGGUCUGGACGUUGCUGGUCUUUAUCUUUCUUGUUGAAGUCAACCAAAUAUUUCUGGUUCAGUGCACAAUCAAGAUGUACCUCCUUGCUCUCCUGCUUCAGUGGGACCAACUUCUUCCUACAUGUGUUCUCCAUCAGGAGCUGGCUGAGCAGGUUUCUGGAAAUACAGUCUGCAUAAGCCUUCUGAAGAUGCCUAGACAAUCCUGGGAUGAGUAACAGUCUUUUAUGGAACUGAAAACUGAGUCCUAAUGACCCUGGCACACUGAUGUGUAAACAGCACAAGAGAUAGAACCAGAGCUGAAGACCGUCCAAUCCAGAACAAAGAAAGUCAGAAAUGGCCAUUCCACAGGUGAUAGCCUUUCUGACCAGGACUUACCUAGAGAAG
rnacentral:lncRNA from 1 species